UACGUAGGGGGCUAGCGUUGUCCGGAUUUAUUGGGCGUAAAGAGCGUGUAGGCGGCCAUGUAGGUCCGGUGUGAAAACUCGAGGCUUAACCUCGAGAUGUCAUCGGAAACCAUGUGGCUAGAGUCCGGAAGAGGAGAGUGGAAUUCCUGGUGUAGCGGUGAAAUGCGCAGAUAUCAGGAAGAACACCCGUGGCUAAGGCGGCUCUCUAGUACGGUACUGACGCUGAGGUGCGAAAGCGUGGGGAGCAAACAGG
rnacentral:rRNA from 1 species